UUGGGCUAAAUUACCUAUACUUGGAAAGCCGGUGUGUGUCUCUCACUGUGACUCUUUGCCCCUCUCUCUCUCUCUCGCCUCAGCCCUUCUCCUUCUACGAUCUCUUUCGCAUCGUCACCACACCAUCGCACGAUCUCUUUCUCAUUUCCCAAACUCUCUCUUCUCUUCUGUUGAAGAUCGAACAUGGAGAUUUCUCAAUCUCUGCUCCAACGCUAUCGCAGCGAUCGUCGUCAGCUCCUGAGUUUCAUACUCUCAUCAGGUUUGAUAAGGGAGCUCCGGUCUCCUACUGGUCCCACCUCCUCUGUCUCUGACUCUGAUCUCGAACUUCUCAGCGCCGAUUACGUCCUCCAAUGCGCACAAUCCGGAUCCGAGUCUUGUCUUUGUUCCCCUUGGAACCUCGAGAAAAAAUUCAAGACUAGGCACUCUGAGAAGAAGUGACUCCAUGUGGCACACAAAUUAUUUACCUGUGGUUGCCAAAUUGUUGCUUUGAGAUGUUCUGCCUCUUGUUUACAUAAAAGUGUAGCAGCUCAAGGUAAAACUAAAAUACUUGCUUCAAGGGUAAGCUUUAUCUCCCGUUUGUAGUUUAGGGUGUUCGAGGAAACAAAUACUUGCUUCAAGGGUAAGUUUUUAGUGUAAUUGAAUGGUUUAGGAGCAUUCUGUAUAUAUAUAUAUAUUUCUUUUUUGAUUGAUGGAUACUUGUAUUGAAGUAUGUUUUUUAUACUUAAUACUAACUAUUUUACUAAAGGUUGUAUUUUGAUUAAUUUUGUUUUGUUUUCUUGAUUUGUUGCUUCCUUGCCUUCAACAUUUGGUUACACAGAGUCUCAGUGAGCAACAAGCUUAUCUAGAACAUAACUUUGGAUGCUGCUCUAAUCUUACACCUCAUCUGGGCGGAAUGGAAAAAACACAUAUAUAGACAUGGAGAUUUUGUUUCUUUUUUUUCCUUAAGUUGUUUCUUCACUUUUCCACAAACCUUGUCCCAGCUAUUUAUUUUGGUUAAGUCACAAAGUUGACUGUCUUUUAGCCAAACUAGAAAUUAGACCCAGAUCGCGAGUACUGGUGGAUAUUAGGUCUACCCAUCGGCCUUCUCUAAUAGAGCACUCAAUCAAUCCCCAAUCAAUCUAUCAAUCCGUAGAUUGUGCCUGAAUUCGCCUCUCUGGUUCCUCAAAUCUUCUUAUUGUUGAUUGUCCAUAAUGAAAGCUAGCUUUUUCCUAUUUAUAUCUAUCAUUGGUGACUUGUUUUCUUCCUUUAUUCAUGCGAUUCACAGGUAAGGAGAGACCAGAUCAGUGAAAAAAUGAGGAAACUACAAGAGCUUGUCCUAAACAUGGACAAGGGUUAUGAAGCACAAUUUGCUGAAGAAGAGCAAAGGCAUUUCAAGUUAAUGAGAAACCUCAAUUUUAUUUAAGAGUUUGGUUUUGAGCCGUACACUCCGACUGGCCAAGGUUUGGAUGUACUUGUAACUAGAGUAGAGCCUUCUGCAUAAGCUGGUAGUAGGUAAUAUAUUUGGAAAAAAAUAGAAUAUAGGUCCUUUGGAACUAGAUAUGGAUGAACUGUUUAUGUUAAGUUUUUAUCCGUCAUGACCCAUUUUUAUUAUUGUGCUUUUAAAAGAGAAACAAAGGGAAUGAACAAUAAGAAUAAUUUUGGGUUCAUA